GUGAGUACCCUGCAUACAAUAAAGGGGACAAAAAGAGGCUUGCUCUCUCUCUCUCCCUUGUUGAUUUUGCUGUCUUCUAUCUAUGAACUGUUGCCCCUCUGCCAUGUGCCACCCUGCCUUAGAGCCAGCCAACUAUGGCCUGAAACCUGUAAAGAUUGUAGCUAAACAAACGUUUCCCCCCUUAACUUUGGGUGGUGGGUAUUUUGUCUCAGCAACAAAGAAAGUAACUUAAGAUAACAAUGCUCCCCCCUGGGAUAAGCAGGACCCCUCAAAGUGGGCUCCUCACAGACCAAAGAGAGGCUGACCACCCACCUCUGUCUGAAGACUGCCCAGGACUCCCCCAGGCUCCGCCCCUUGAAAGGAAGCUGUGUCUGCCUGCAGAUACUGUAGACUCAGGUCAAGUAAGGUCUGCAUUUCUCAGAUGACUUCCUCCUGAGAGCACCAGGCCAUGGAGAACCCUGUCCCUGCAGUGUGGCAGUGAGGAUUCUGGCAAGCUGGAAGAGGACUUGCAAAGCCCAAGUUACUUCUGUCUUAGAGACACCUGGUCUACACCAUCUCCUUUGGUCCUUACUGUGUCACUGUGAGCCUAUGGCUUUCCUUGUGUUACAGCUAAAGACACUGAGAGUAAAGGAGCUUAGAGAACAUCUGUAAGACAGGAGAAGGAGAGCAUGCAUUUGCUGAAGUGAAUCAAACAGAAGCAACUGAACCCUCUUCAUCUGCUGAGAAGGCCCCACCAGCCAGGCUGCCCAGAAGCAGGAAUGCAAGGCCUCCAAAGACAGCAGGUCCCGCUGCCGCCAUGAGGAGGGCACCAGAAGAGAGGACGAGAAGCUGGCCCGUGCUGCUCAGCUCUCCCCUCACCCAGGCCCAGUGAGGUCAGAAGAAGCUGCCGUCGAUUGGUCAGAAAUAACUUUGCCGCUCAUGGCUUUUGCAUUUCCAGGCAGCUCAAAAAUAUUAGCAGCCUCCUAGCAGCCGUGCACCCCCAGCUGAAACUGCCAAGGCGAAAAGGGACAGCUGAGCCCAGUCAACUGCGUGACUGGGAAAAAUCACUGGUGACAUGACAUCUUUAGUCUAUUAAUAGAGAGCUCCCACACCCCGACAAUAGCAGCUCAAGAGGCGGGGGGCAGGGAGAGAGAGAGAGAGAGCAGCUACCAAGGUUCUGACGGAUGAAGCCCAAACUGUAUCCCAGCUUACGUGGGGCUGCCAGCGUUGAAAAGAUGGAAAGCUUUUGGCUUUCAAAGGUAUGAACUUGAAAGUUACUCGUGUUCACAGCAAUUGCAGGAAGGUGUUUAAAAAUUCAGGGAGCAUCAAAGACAAAGUGGACCAAUACAUGCAGCAAGGAAAGCCAGGUGUCUCUCCAGGUGUCUCCCAAACAUCACCACAGAAUAACUGGGGAGGGGGUGGAGACAGGCAAGUGGAUUUUCAGAGGAGGCCCAAUCACCCUCGCUCGGCGUCACAACACCACAGAGGCCAAGCCUCAGGGCAGCCACACCACCGCUGUGGGCUCUCCACCAAACCCCAAACGUCGCCUCCUGCACCCUAAAAUCACUCCCGUAAGGAGCCGUUAAUUAGAUGUCAGUUCCUUGGUGACACGGGAAUUAUCUAGGACCAAUCGCCUGGUUUUCCAUAGCUGGAAAGAGCAUAACUUCCCACCCAGGAGGAGGACGGGACCCAGGAGCCUGUGCAGUUCAGAGAAAGUACAGCUGGGAAGGCAGGAGGGCGCCCUCCCCCCCAGCCACAGGGCACUUCACAGGCUGGAGGGCGUUUCUCCGGUGUGGACUUCCUGAAUCUCACAGAGCCUCACCACCCUCCCGCAGUGGGGCACAGGCAUAGCCGGGUCUAGGCAGGCUUCUGUUACCCAGCCCAGCUCUCCUCCUGUAGAAGGGAAAGAGCAGAGCAACACACGCUUGUCUGGAGCUGCCAGCACCGGCUCCUCUUCCCGCUCAAGGGCGAGGAGCUCCAGAGCCACAGCAGGGAAGCCUGUGCUGCAGAUCUACCUCCCGAGGGCCCGCACCCAGGCCCACAUUCCAGGCUGGCUGUGUGUAAACUCUUGCACCCCUUAGGAGUCUCAGCUGAUGGGGGAGCCGCCCACGCUCAGCACCCUUCCAGGUCUCUCUCUCUCUCUCUCUCUCUCUCUCUCUCUCUCUCUCUCUCUCUCUCUCACACACACACACACACACACACACACACACUCACUCACACUCCCUGGACACCUACUUCCAUGAAGUCUGCAAAAAUCCCCUGCUAUCAGCUGCAUCUUUCAAAAAUGCACGCAAUUUACUACAUCCACCACACUGAGUGUUGAUGGGGGAAAACACCCAGAAGCUGCGGAACAUCUGCAAGCGGAGCUGCUUUAUGUGUGUGUGUGUCUAAGUAGCUUUUGCUCCCCCUCAUUUCGUGCUGCUUAGGGUUAUGUUAAACUUAGUAGGGACAGGAAAUAGCAGUGAAGAAAGGCGGCCCAGAAACCUUUCUUAGAACAGCAAGAAGAACGUCGGCCUGUUUUAAUUUUGCACGUGGAACAGCCUUCAAAGUGAACGGGAGUUGACAAGAUGCACACUCACCCUCACCCUUGUCUUGCUCACACCCCGGGAAUGGGUCCGUGGAGGGGACCUCGGAGUCAGGCUUCUCCUCUCUGAGCCACCUCCCCUGGAGUCCUCAGUAUCUCAAGUGGGUUUGAAUGGAAAUGGCCCCCUUGUGAAGGCCUGGGCUGGGAGUUAAUCCUGCUCUCUAAGUCCUGAUGGUCACCUGAUGUUGUAGCUGCGCUGCAGCCGUUUUCCUUUCAUCCGCCUCCUGCACUCCACCUACAUGGACCCAUUCAAGUGUCCUUGGAAUCCCAUCCUGUGGCCGACAGCCACUUCACGUGUUUGCCCUUGCCCGAAGCCCCUCUGAGCUGGACCUCUGCGGACACCCUGAAGAAGUCACGUUUGCUCACAACCCUUCUAGUGGCACGAUACACACGGUAUAAGAGAAGCACCAGCGUCCUUCAGACUUGCAGCCCAUGGCCAGUUCCUCUGCCUGUCUUGGUGCCAUAGUGGAAAAGUGUAGAUAACGAAACAGUGCAACUAAAUGACUUUAAAUUACAUCACCUGACAAAUUUGGAAGAGACAGGAGAACAGGUCCCCGGACACAAUCCCAAACACCUACAACUUUAAGGAGGAGAAGUUUAUUUUUAUAGUCCGUGGUUGGCUGGCUCCCAGGAAGAAACGGCAUCGUGUAGGGGUCAUGGAAAGAUGCUCAGCCUGUGACAGCCAGGAAGAAGAGAAAGAAGUGUGGAGCCAGAGACAGGAAUGCACCCUCCCACGUCAGGCCCCCAGUGACACACUUCCCGCCAGGCCCCACCUCCUAGCAGCACAUUCAGCUAUGAACUUGUCACUGGCUGGGUCCACCGCUGAGUACAGCACAGCACCCCCAUAACCCGAUCACCUCCCAAGCACAUGAGCCUUGGGGGAACGCUUAGAUCUAAGCCAUAACAGAAGCCCGGGACGUUGAUAAAGCACACGUCUGCAAGUGUCUGCAGGGCUAUCUCCAGAGACGACUGGCGUGGUGCCCAGUGAGCUGAGAAGGGAAGACCAGCCCUGACUGUGAGCAGCACCAUCCAAUACACUUGCUGAGGUGGAACAAAAAAGUGAAAGGAAGAGGGAAGCUGCCUGUGCUAGCAAAGUUGAUUCCGACUGAGCAGGUACAUCUGUCAUACCUGAGGGCCUCAGACUGCAGCUUCCUCUGUCUUUCAGCACGGAGUCACGCCAGCGACUGUCCAGGAAGCUUGCAGGCCUUCGCCUCAGCCUGCAGCUGCUCUUGGGCUCUCUUGUUCGGAAGCUUCCAGCCCCCUGGGCUGAGCAGCUACUGGAGACUCUGGCUCUCCAGUGUGCAGAUGGCCAUGGUGGACUCUCUCACCUUUGACACUAGAGAACCCUAUCCCAUACUUUAUCCAUUAAACCACCACAAGUACUCUCUGGAAUCACUAUUCUCUGCCUUCUAUAGACCUGGAAUUAAGGUGAAGAAAACUUAGCUUGGCUGUCAGUACUUGACUGAGUGGCAAAGCACAGACGGAAGCACCAGUCUCUGCCGGAUCUCAAGGCUCUUUCUAGGCCAAAGGACUGUCCCGGCAACUGUGCAGGAUGAAAGCUGGAGAAGGAGGCAGAGGGCCGGUGGCAAAACUACUGAGCUGGUCCUGGUGAGUCCGGAGAUGUCAGCAUGAUAAUGGCUGUGGGAAUAUGGAGACCGACACAGCAACACUACUUGGACAAGCAGAGGGAUAGGACAGAGCCAGUGCCCUGGGGUCUGUGAGGAAGAACUCUGCAUCCAGGAUGAAAGGGGGUGCCUCGGAGGGGAGUUAGACAGCCCAGAGCAGACGGCAGUGCACAAGGAUUGGUGAUGUGGGUGAAUGAACCAACAACCCUCGACAGGUGCACACAGGUGACAAGGAUGAGUCCAAGUGCCGUUUAACAGGAUAAGUUCCAAGCUGAACUGCCCGCUGGCAAGAAAAUCUGGCCGUGGCUUCCUCUCUACAGCCUCAGUGUGUCUGCACUAACUCCCACCACCAGGCUCUGCAUUGUUUAGCUGUCCGCUUGGAAGAAAACACACAAGCUUUUAUACUAACUUCCUCAUCAGCUAUUUCAAUAGCAAAUGCUCCAUUCUCCCUACUGGUGCAAACCUCAGAAGCCCAGAACCACAGUCUGAUACCUCAGAGGCCCUUGUGGGAGACAGACACCACCCAAAGGAAAGCCAGGAUUAGGGGCGAGCUCGGGGAUUGUCAGGUCUCAGCUCUUCCUUUUACAGAUGAGGCAACUGAUGCCCAAACAGCUGAAGGGAGUGCAGGCUGCUCCGUAACUCCAGUGGGUGGGCCUAUGCCACCUCCAGCGCCCCAGCUCAGGCCCCAACUCCUCCCUGCAGACCCACUGCCCCCAGGAGCAGAGGCCUCCCUGCAGGCCGCCCUGUGAUUCAGAGACCACACUCUGUGAUUCAGAGACCACUCCCUGCAGAGGCAGAGGACCUGGCAUCUCCUGGAAGGCAGCCUCUGCCUGGGUCCCUGGUUACUUGCCUUAGUUUAUGAGGCUAAUGGCUCUGCUUUGAUAUCAAUCAGCAACGUGUUCUUCCAAAACAAUAUUUGUUAAUGCUGGAAUUCAUAUUGUGUUUUCAAAGUGCCCCUUUCCCAGAGAGGCAGUUCAAGGGGAGUAGGAGCCAGGGAAGAGGGCUGGGGAGCAAAGCUUUUGGUCCCCAGGGGCCCAUUUCAGGCUCUUGGGCCAGGAGGUCUUUGGCAGUGCCAAAAAGCACAGGGCUAUGGCAGUGGGGGGGAGGGCAACACCACCACCCAGACAGGCAGCCCAGACCGGGGGUGCGAGCAGCUGGCAGGGCUGGUCUCACACUGGCUCUGCAAUUCGCCUCCAUUAUGAGGACCAAGGAGCCAAACAAGCAGAUGUGAGCUGUGGCUCCCUUCCUGGGCUGGGUGUUGAGGUGCAGAGCUGGAGAGCAAGUGAGUCUCUGCCCCUCAGGAAGCCCGAGCCCCAACCAAGAGAGUCUCUCUGUCCCUCCAGGCCCCCAGGUAGAGAUGACACAGGAGGCUUGUGCCCUGUCACCAAGAGGAUGGUGCUGAAAAUAAUUGCCUGCUCCUACGUGCUGAUGGGCUACUGUAAUGGACACGUGCCUGACCCCAGUUCUGUUGAGACAAUUAUGCUUCUAAG